rnacentral:sRNA from 1 species
GACAGUGGUGCGAGGAAGAUCUGUUAGCACAAGAUCUGGAGUAUGAUACAAACCUGAUGGAUGUACUCACAAAGGUUAGCGACCCGGUCACAGGGGUCACCUACUACAAUAAAUACUGCGCUGAGUGUAACAAUGUUACGAAUGUGACUCCGUGGAGCAUCAGGAUAGACUGCCUUCAUUAUCUUUACGUCUACAAAGCAAUUAACGCUCUAGAACUCCUGAGACUGAGUUUAGACAAAACUUCAACGUGUAAGGUAAAAGAUCAAAUACCGGAACCUAAUUCUACCUACGCGACCUGCGAUGAUAACUUCUGGUUUGAAAGAGUUAUAGGUGAUUGUAACCUGACCGGAAAGUGGACGCACUACGACCCAGACGUUGCAAGGUUAUGUUUACAAACUACUGGACACAGUUUCAGUGUUGUGUUAUCUCACAUGUAUUUCCCAAACGUAUUCUGUGCACUAUGUAAUUCAGACAUAUAUCCUUCUUUAAAAAAUGACUGCUUGCCCCUCAGAAGUUUCCCACUCGUAGUACCUUCUUUCACAGUGUUAUUAAACUUUUACGAAAAGAGUUUAUCGGAUACGCUUUCCAAAACAGAAAAACGAAUAUGUCCAAAAGAGAAAUGGUCUGGACCGGGGAAUCGAUGCAUCCUUAUAAAAUGUGCUGAUGGGAAGCAACUAAAGAAUGGACAAUGCCUGACUGCAUUAUCGGAGAUACGUGGGUUAGGCUACCAAGUUCGAUUAGAAUACCUACUUAAUUUCAGCGUAGAUUA